rnacentral:tRNA from 1 species
GGAAGGGUGGCCGAGUGGUUUAAGGCAAAGGUUUGCUAAACCUUGGCGCUUUCGGCGCCUCGUGGGUUCGAAUCCCACCCCUUCCG